UUUCGAGCUCAAGCCUAGAUCACUCGCUCACUGUCAUCUCUCUCUAUCUCUCUCUCUCUCUCUCUCCAAUAUUUCUAUUGAAGUCUCUCCAUUUUUCUCUAGACUAUGUCGACUGUCAUGGUUAGGGUUGCACUGUCUCUCCACAUUUUUCUUAUUUUUAGCUAACCACAAACACCUUCUCCCUAAUGCCGCAUCCAAUUGGGCUCUCUUUCUGGAGAGAGAGCUUCCUGGUUUUUGUUUUUCUUUCUUUUCCACAGGUCACUUAGGGAGAGAGAGAUAUAUAUAUAUUUAUAUAUAUCUUUGAUAACCAGCUGCUUUGUUUUAGAUUUGAGAUCAAGAGUAGAAAACACGGAAAAGAAGAAGCUGGUUUUUAGACUGACUGAGCUAGAGAGAGAAGGAGGGGUGAGGGGGAAGAAGAGAAAUUUGGUUCCAAGUUUGGAUUUUUUUUAAGCUUAGUUGUAUUUUUGUUUUUAUUAAUUUCUUUGCUUUCCCCCUCUUUUGGGUUAAAGCAGAAUUUGGUUUUUUGAGAGAUUGGUGAACAAAUAAGGAGGAGAAGGUUUCUCGCAAAAAUCCAUACAGAUUCUCCGUGUCUGUAUAUAUUGGCCUUCACUCUGCAAAACCCAACUUCAUUUGGCUUUUACCUUCCUCUCCAAUCCUUACCCUUUUCUUUUUAAGUCUCAAGAUUCUUCAUUAAGCUCAAAUCAUUCUCAUACCUCUCUCUCUAUCUCAGACACACACAUCUUUGAAGGAACGGGCUUUACUAAAACGAAAGAAUCUUAAUCCAUAAGCCCCUAAAAUAUAAGGAAGAAAAUCCCAGAACAACCACCUUCCCUCUCUCUCUCUCUGGCUGUCUGUUUGGCGGUCUAUUUGGUGGGUUUAUUUCUCCUUUUUUUUUUUUUUUUUUUCUCGCUUUCCCUGUUGUGGAAAUGGCGAUGGCGGUGGCUCAGCACAGAGAGAGCAGUAACAGUAGCAUAAAUAAGCACCUUACUGACAGUGGAAAGUAUGUUCGGUACACGGCGGAGCAAGUGGAUGCUCUUGAAAGAGUCUACUCUGAGUGCCCCAAGCCCAGCUCCUUGCGAAGGCAACAAUUGAUCAGAGAGUGCCCCAUUUUGUCGAACAUCGAGCCUAAGCAGAUCAAAGUCUGGUUUCAAAAUCGCAGGUGUCGAGAGAAGCAAAGAAAUGAAUCUUCAAGACUCCAGACCGUGAACAGGAAAUUGACGGCAAUGAAUAAACUGUUGAUGGAAGAGAAUGAUCGCCUGCAGAAACAGGUGUCCCAGCUGGUAUGCGAGAAUGGCUACAUGCGGCAACAAUUGCAAACUGUAAAUGCGUCAGCAGCAACUGAUGCAAGCUGUGACUCUGUAGUUACUACUCCUCAGCAUUCACUGAGAGACGCCAAUAACCCUGCUGGACUCUUGUCCAUUGCAGAGGAGACCUUGGCAGAGUUCCUUUCAAAGGCUACAGGAACUGCUGUCGAUUGGGUCCAGAUGCCUGGGAUGAAGCCUGGUCCGGAUUCGGUUGGGAUCUUUGCCAUUUCACAAAGUUGCAGUGGGGUGGCAGCUCGAGCUUGUGGUCUUGUAAGCUUAGAACCUACAAAGAUUGCGGAGAUCCUUAAAGAUCGUCCAUCUUGGUUCCGGGAUUGUCGGAGCCUUGAAGUUUUCACCAUGUUUCCUGCCGGAAAUGGUGGAACAGUUGAACUAGUAUAUAGUCAGGUAUACGCUCCAAUGACUCUGGCUCCUGCACGGGAUUUCUGGACUCUGAGAUACACUACAAGCUUAGAGAAUGGCAGUCUUGUGGUCUGUGAGAGAUCUCUUUCUGGUUCUGGUGCUGGUCCAAAUGCAGCAGCUGCUUCUCAGUUUGUGAGGGCUGAAAUGCUUCCCAGUGGCUAUUUGAUAAGGCCAUGUGAAGGUGGAGGGUCAAUUAUCCACAUAGUGGAUCACCUGAAUCUUGAGGCAUGGAGCGUUCCUGAGGUGCUGCGACCUCUUUAUGAAUCAUCAAAAGUAGUGGCCCAUAAAAUGACAAUUGCGGCACUGCGUUACAUCAGGCAAAUAGCUCAAGAGACUAGUGGUGAGGUGGUGUAUGGUUUUGGCAGGCAACCAGCUGUUUUGAGAACUUUUAGCCAAAGAUUAAGCAGAGGAUUCAAUGAUGCUAUCAAUGGAUUUAAUGAUGAUGGCUGGUCACUCAUGAGUUGUGAUGGAGCUGAAGACGUUAUAAUUGCUGUUAAUUCAACCAAAAACUUGGGCAGCACUUCCAAUCCCUCUAAUUCCUUUUCAUUCCUGGGAGGGAUUCUAUGUGCAAAAGCUUCCAUGCUAUUGCAAAAUGUCCCUCCUGCAGUCCUGGUUCGUUUCCUAAGAGAGCACCGUUCUGAAUGGGCUGAUUUUAAUGUUGAUGCCUAUUCUGCUGCAUCAUUGAAGGCUGGUUCAUAUGCAUUUCCGGGAAUGAGGCCCACAAGGUUCACUGGAAGCCAGGUCAUCAUGCCUCUUGGUCAUACAAUUGAACAUGAAGAAUUACUUGAAGUUAUUCGACUGGAAGGCCAUUCUCUUGCACAAGAGGAUGCUUUUAUUUCAAGGGACAUUCAUCUCUUACAGAUAUGCAGUGGAAUUGAUGAGAAUGCUGUUGGUGCCUGCUCAGAACUCGUUUUUGCUCCAAUUGAUGAAAUGUUUCCUGAUGAUGCUCCACUAUUACCUUCUGGUUUCCGUGUCAUUCCUUUGGAUUCAAAAACUAGAGAUGCACAGGAUGCAGUGAAUACAUCUCGCACCCUGGAUCUCACAACUAGUCUUGAAGUGGGUCCUGCAACAAAUCAUUCUGCAGGAGAUGCCUUAUCAUCUCAUAGUACGCGAUCAGUCUUGACUAUUGCCUUUCAGUUCCCUUUUGAGAGCAAUUUACAGGAUAAUGUUGCCACCAUGGCUCGUCAAUAUGUCCGUAGUGUGAUUUCCUCUGUCCAGAGGGUGGCCAUGGCUAUAUCUCCAUCAGGAUUGUGCCCAUCUGUGGGACCUAAGUUAUCUCCUAGCUCUCCUGAAGCUCUUACCUUAGCUCACUGGAUCUGCCAAAGUUAUAAGUACUAUUUAGGGGCUGAAUUGCUGAGUUCUGAUUCUCUUGGGGGAGAUUCAGUGUUGAAACAUCUAUGGCAUCAUCAGGAUGCCAUUUUAUGUUGCUCGUUGAAGUCGUUGCCGAUUUUCAUCUUUGCCAAUCAGACGGGGCUGGACAUGCUGGAGACAACUUUAGUGGCUCUUCAAGACAUCACAUUGGAUAAGAUAUUUGAUGAAUCUGGACGGAAGGCGCUGUGUGCAGACUUUGCAAAGUUAAUGGAACAGGGAUUUGCAUACUUGCCGGGUGGAAUAUGCAUGUCAACAAUGGGGCGCCAUGUUUCAUAUGAGCAAGCUGUUGCAUGGAAAGUCCUUGCUGCAGAUGAAAGCACUGUUCAUUGCCUUGCCUUCUCCUUUGUAAACUGGUCUUUUGUGUGAUGAAAAUUCAUUCAUCUGAUGUCCUCUUCCUCCCCGGGCUGAAUAUGAAAAAAAAAACAAAUGGUGGAGAAUCUUGAAAAUUAAAAAAAAAAGAAGAAAGUUUUGUAAUAUUUAAACCCCACCAGCAUUCAGUCCUUCAGCAGUUGCUGACAAACAAGGGUUCACGAGCUCUAUUUUCAACCUUUUGCUUCUCUGCUGCAAAUUAUAUCCAGGAAUUCACUGAAAUGUGUCUGCCAUUUAUUUACGUUAAAUGCUAUUUAUUACCUUCAUAUUGCAUUGCUAGUACUUGCUUGGAUUUUUCCUUGCCACCAAGAUUUGUAUUUAUGAGGCCUAUAAAUGUUUUCAUAGUUACUUCAUUGAUGAAUUAUCAUGUAACUUUGUUCUUUAUAUUGCUUAUUCCUGAAUUUUGUGGGAUUCUUGCAAGUUGCAACCCCCAACAACCCAACCCUCCAUUAUAAAAAAAAAAAAAAAGAGCAUUAAAUAUA